AACACUAACAUGUAUUGGGGGGCAAGUAUGUUUUUAUGAUUUUGUAGUGGUUUUGCUGAGCUGUGUUUUUGGUUGGCCAUGGAGGGUACUACUAUCCGACUCUUAAGUUUUUCUUUGGCACUUCUCAGUCUUUGUGUCUGUGGCCAUAUUGGAAGUGUUGAUGGUUUUGUUAGGAGUGUACGUUAUCCUGUAUACAAUGAGGCUGGUUUCCCAGUGAAGGAUGAUGUGAAACCACGAAGUUCCUACAGC